UACGUAGGUGGCAAGCGUUGUCCGGAUUUACUGGGCGUAAAGAGCGCGCAGGCGGUCGUUCAAGUCGCGUGUGAAAGCCCCCGGCUCAACUGGGGAGGGUCACGCGAUACUGAUCGACUCGAAGGCAGGAGAGGGAAGUGGAAUUCCCGGUGUAGUGGUGAAAUGCGUUGAGAUGUGUCGGAACACCAAUGGCGAAAGCAGUCUUCUGGACGGAUACUGACGCUGAGAUACGAAAGCCAAGGUAGCAAACAGG
rnacentral:rRNA from 1 species